UUUGAUUUUCUGUUUUUUUUGUUGUUGACUUGAGUUUAUUUGAUUAGUUGAUUGUUUGAUUAAAUGUUUUUGAUUGAUUUUGAUUUCCAUUGUAGUUUAUUCAUAUUGUUUACAUGUUCUACACAUGAUAUGUAAAUAAGGGUAUAAUUGUAAUCUUUUAAUUUUCUUCUCUUUUCCCUCCUAACUCGGGAACACAUAAACUAAAAAUUUUACUUUCAUUUUCUUCGAACUCGGGAACACGGAUUAAAUAAAAUUUUCCUUCCCCUUCCUUUCCUUCCGUUAAUAUUUUCCCUCCCUAUCUUUAAUGAAUUUAAAAAAAAAAACUCAUGAACAAGGCGUAAGAACACAAGAGCACCACCGUGAAGUACCACCAAAGUCCAAAACACCCUCUGUGAGAAAUUGAAUCCUCCAUAUACAACAUUUUUGAAGGAUCAAACAACAAUAAUGUAUCUAAAUGGGAGAAGAAUUGUAUGAAAAUAAGAAGAUGAGUGGUAGUAUUUAUAGGUGAAUGUUGAAGAAAUAGAAAAGAAGCCGUUAGGGAGGAGAAGAAAGUGGUCAAACGAGAUUUAAUGCAAGAAAUUAAACUAUUAGCCAUUUGGGUUCGUUGUCCGGAGCACGGAGGGCCACGACCACGACCCACCACAAACCACCAGGGUGUUAUGCAUGGUCGUGAUUCAUGGCCACCUAGACCACGAACACUCCCGUGCUAUCUAUACCAGAAGGCCUUAGACAUCAAGUUCACAUAACGAUUAUUGCAUUCACCAUCUAGUAAGUAAUCUAAGAUAUGGUUAUGCUCUAUGUAUUGUUUUACUGGUUUCUAUUUUCUGUAUUGUCUUUGUAAUGAAUACCUAUUAUGACGGGCCUACGUUUCAUCAUAAGAUUGUAAAAUUAUGAUAUUUCUCAUUUGGCAUUUAGGUAAACACAAUACAUUGCAAUGUCACAAUUGCUGUUUGAACUACGAUUUGGAAUGCGGAUGAUCAACAAUAAAGAGUGAUAGAUUUGUCACCCUCAUAAUUAUAUGAUAUCCAAUAUGUCAUACUUUACAACAUUAAUUUGUAGAAGGUUAUAACAUAAUUCUAGCCAAAAAUUCUGUAUGCAACUGCCUGGGUAUAGGCAUGUUGAAGAUUUAACAUUUAGUUCAUACGUUAAGGAUGCUACAGAGGAAGUCCGGUGUUCUUUGGCUCUACACAAAGUUUUGUAUCUCAUAUCAGUUGCACAAUAAUGCACAUCAUGUUGA